UACCGGUGGGGAAGGCGGCCCCCUUACGAAAGACUGUUGCUCAGAUGCGAAAGCGUGGGGAGCAACCAGGAUUAGAUACCCUGGUAGUACACGCUGUAUCUGAUGUUGAUUUGGAGGUUGUGCCCUUGAGGCGUGGCUUCCGGAGCUAACGCGUUAAAUCGACCGCCUGGGGAGUACGUCCGCAAGGUUAAAACUCAAAUGAAUAGACGGGGGCCCGCACAAGCGGUGGAGCAUGUGGUUUAAUUCGAUGCAACGCGAAGAACCUUACCUACUCUUGACAUCCAGAGAACUUAGCAGAGAUGCUUUGGUGCCUUCGGGAACUCUGAGACAGGUGCUGCAUGGCUGUCGUCAGCUCGUGUUGUGAAAUGUUGGGUUAAGUCCCGCAACGAGCGCAACCCUUAUCCUUUGUUGCCAGCGGUUCGGCCGGGAACUCAAAGGAGACUGCCAGUGAUAAACUGGAGGAAGGUGGGGAUGACGUCAAAUCAUCAUGGCCCUUACGAGUAGGGCUACACACGUGCUACAAUGGCGUAUACAAAGAGAAGCGACCUCGCGAGAGCAAGCGGACCUCAUAAAGUACGUCGUAGUCCGGAUUGGAGUCUGCAACUCGACUCCAUGAAGUCGGAAUCGCUAGUAAUCGUAGAUCAAAAUGCUACGGUGAAUACGUUCCCGGGCCUUGUACACACCGCCCGUCACACCAUGGGAGUGGGUUGCAAAAGAAGUAGGUAGCUUAACCUUCGGGAGGGCGCUUACCACUUUGUGAUUCAUGACUGGAGUGGAGUCGUAACAAGGUAACCGUAAAUCGA
rnacentral:rRNA from 1 species